GAGCCGGUAGCUCAGGGGUAGAGCAUGUGCCUUUUAAGCAUGGGGUCGUGGGUUCGAUUCCCACCCGGCUCA
rnacentral:tRNA from 3 species